UACGUAGGGUGCGAGCGUUGUCCGGAAUUAUUGGGCGUAAAGAGCUUGUAGGCGGUUUGUCGCGUCUGCUGUGAAAAUCCGAGGCUCAACCUCGGACUUGCAGUGGGUACGGGCAGACUAGAGUGUGGUAGGGGGAGACUGGAAUUCCUGGUGUAGCGGUGGAAUGCGCAGAUAUCAGGAGGAACACCGAUGGCGAAGGCAGGUCUCUGGGCCACUACUGACGCUG
rnacentral:rRNA from 1 species